rnacentral:rRNA from 1 species
ACCUAGUAGAAUUGACGUUACUCGCAGAAUAAGCACCGGCUAACUCUGUGCCAGCAGCCGCGGUAAUACAGAGGGUGCAAGCGUUAAUCGGAAUUACUGGGCGUAAAGCGCGCGUAGGCGGUAUGUUAAGUCGGAUGUGAAAUCCCUGGGCUCAACCUAGGCACUGCAUCCGAUACUGGCACACUAGAGUGUGGGAGAGGAAGGUAGAAUUCCAGGUGUAGCGGUGAAAUGCGUAGAUAUCUGGAGGAAUACCGAUGGCGAAGGCAGCCUUCUGGCCUAACACUGACGCUGAGGUGCGAAAGCAUGGGGAGCAAACAGGAUUAGAUACCCUGGUAGUCCAUGCUGUAAACGAUGUCAACUAGCCGUUGGGAGCCUUGAGCUUUUAGUGGCGUAGCUAACGCGAUAAGUUGACCGCCUGGGGAGUACGGUCGCAAGACUAAAACUCAAAUGAAUUGACGGGGGCCCGCACAAGCGGUGGAGCAUGUGGUUUAAUUCGAUGCAACGCGAAGAACCUUACCUGGCCUUGACAUGUCUGGAAUCCUGCAGAGAUGCGGGAGUGCCUUCGGGAAUCAGAACACAGGUGCUGCAUGGCUGUCGUCAGCUCGUGUCGUGAGAUGUUGGGUUAAGUCCCGCAACGAGCGCAACCCUUUUCUUUAUUUGCCAGCACGUAAUGGUGGGAACUCUAAAGAUACUGCCGGUGACAAACCGGAGGAAGGCGGGGACGACGUCAAGUCAUCAUGGCCCUUACGGCCAGGGCUACACACGUGCUACAAUGGUUGGUACAGAGGGUUGCUACCCCGCGAGGGCAUGCUAAUCUCACAAAGCCAAUCGUAGUCCAGAUUGGAGUCUGCAACUCGACUCCAUGAAGUCGGAAUCGCUAGUAAUCGCGGAUCAGAAUGCCGCGGUGAAUACGUUCCCGGGCCUUGUACACACCGCCCGUCACACCAUGGGAGUUUGUUGCACCAGAAGUAGUUAGCCUAACCGCAAGGAGGGCGAUUACCACGGUGUGGCCAAUGACUGGGGUG